rnacentral:rRNA from 1 species
UUCCUACGGGAGGCAGCAGUGGGGAAUAUUGCACAAUGGGGGGAACCCUGAUGCAGCGACGCCGCGUGGGUGAAGGAGUGCUUCGGCAUGUAAAGCCCUAUCGGCAGGGAAGAAGCAAGACGGUACCUGACUAAGAAGCCCCGGCUAACUACGUGCCAGCAGCCGCGGUAAUACGUAGGGGGCGAGCGUUAUCCGGAUUCACUGGGUGUAAAGGGAGCGUAGACGGCCAUGCAAGCCCGGGGGGAAAGCCCGGGGCCCAAACCCGGGACCGCCCUUGGGACUGGAUGGCUGGAGU